AUUGAACGCUGGCGGCAGGCUUAACACAUGCAAGUCGAACGAGUGGCGGACGGGUGAGUAAUGCUUGGGAAUCUAGCUUAUGGAGGGGGAUAACUACGGGAAACUGUAGCUAAUACCGCGUACCAUAGGAUGAGCCCAAGUGGGAUUAGGUAGUUGGUGAGGUAAAGGCUCACCAAGCCGACGAUCUCUAGCUGGUCUGAGAGGAUGACGAUCCAAGCUGGGCCGGAGACACGGCCAAGACUCUGACUGGAGACAUCAGUGGGGAAUAUGCCGCAAGGUGCGCAACCGGACCCAGUCAUGCCGCGUGAAUGAAGAAGGCCUUCGGGUUGGAAAGUUCUUUCUGUAUCUAGGCGUUAACGACAGAAGUAGCACCGGCUAACUCCGGGCCAGCCGCCUCGGUAAUUC
rnacentral:rRNA from 1 species